ACGUGAUCUGAGUUCAGACCGGAGUAAUCCAGGUCAGUUUCUAUCUAUAAAGAGCUUUUUCUAGUACGAAAGGACCGAAAAAACAAGGCCUAUAAAUUUAACAAGCCUUACUUACCAACUUAUGCAUUAAACUUAAUAAUUCACAAGCUUUUAUACUACUCAAGAUAAGAGAA
rnacentral:rRNA from 1 species